rfam:Egretta garzetta contig88305, whole genome shotgun sequence.
GUUGUUGCAAUAGUAAUCCUGCUCAGUACGAGAGGAACCGCAGGUUCAGACCCCUGGUGCGUGCGCUUGGCUGAGGAGCCACUGGCGCGAGGCUACCAUCUGCGGGCUUAUGACUGAACGCCUCUAAGUCAGAAUCCCGCCUAGACGUAGCGAU